CUGGGCAGCCGAGGAGGAACGGAUAGAACUCGUUCCCAGCACAUGGAGAAUUUCCGGCCCCCAUGCCCCCAAAUGACUGCGGAGCCUGAGGGGCAGGAGGUAAAAUACCAUCUGUUCUCCCAGGAAGCAGACACAGAGCUCCUGAAACACUUUUAAUUUCCUAAGUGACAGGAGUAUCUUUUGUGAUUCACAACAAGCCCUUUGGAACACAACUGAGUUGGUGCUGAUGAGGUGACCUAGGGUGGAGUCCCUACAGAGCCUCUGGAUGGGGCUGGUCACCAGGAAGACCAAGAGAAGAGAAGGUUGCAGCUUUCAGCUCCAUCUACCACCGGGGAGCAGAGCUGGAGAUAAGCUGCAGAAAAACUCUUGAACAACAAACUUGAUGAGCUUCUGGGGUGGUGCCUUCACGUGCCAGCAGGAUGGUGCACCCCAGAUCCACAGGGACAGAAGCUGCUGAGCUUGGCACCCUUCGGGACUUCACCCUAUGUACUUCUUCACCUAGUGGUUCAUUUGUAUCCUUUAUAAUGUCUUUUG